GGGGCCAUGGUCUAGCCUGGUUAUGAUUCGAGGUUUGGGACUUCGCGACCCCGGUUCAAAUCCGGGUGGCCCCA
rnacentral:tRNA from 1 species